GACAGAGGGGGCAAGCGUUGCUCGGAAUCACUUGGCGUAAAGGGCGCGUAGGCGGGAUGGCAAGUCAGACGUGAAAUCCCUCAGCUUAACUGGGGAACUGCGUCUGAUACUGGAUGGCUUGGAUUCGGGAGAGGAAUGCGGAAUUCCAGGUGUAGCGGUGAAAUGCGUAGAUAUCUGGAGGAACACCGGUGGCGAAGGCGGCAUCCUGGACCAACACUGACGCUGAGUGAGCGAAAGCCAGGGGAGCAAACGGG
rnacentral:rRNA from 1 species